UAGAUUAAGACCCGGCACCGGCGUUUUGGAGAUUUCCGGAACACGAAGUUCGGUGGCCUGAUGCUAUUCGAAAACGACGAGUUAAUUUGCCAAGGAUUUUCCUGCACUAAGUGAAUCGACCUGAUGCGGUCUCCAGCGUCACCGCUAACAUGCCGCGCAACACCUGAAAAACGCAGUCCAAGAUUGUGCCCUGCAACCUGGCGUUCUGGAUAUCACUUCGCUACAUGUCUCCAUGUGAGCACCGUGCCGGAAGUCUCCGCUCAUGAAACGAAACCUAUCCCGUUCUGUUUCCUAUCGAGAGUCGUCAUCGACGGAACACUUGGCUGACACCACAUCGAGUCUCAAUUUGAUGGACACGAACAUGCGUAACGUGAUUCCCACACGUGGGUGAUUUCGCACGAGGAGCAAAAUCGAUCAUACAGGCACAUAGUAAAAAUAUUGGCCUCGCUUGGCGGAGGCCGGACAACAUUUGCGUUGCCCUCGCAUGUAUAAUCACCACCAACAGUCUGCCUUUGUUCAAUACCUGCUCCUGCGGACUCUGAAAAGAUCCAGACCGUUUUCCGCCGCCUGAACGCCAUCUACCGCUAGGGCACCUGAUACCGCUGCUGAGUGCUGAUCGUCGACCUGCAGGUGCAACAUAGCUGUGAUGAGUGUCCCGAUUUGGUGUUCAACUUUGUCAAGCAGAUUAGCAAGGACUUUCCGGAAAAGUUUUCCGAUGUGGUGCGUAGCGACGCGUUACGCGUGCUCCUGGGGCACGAACUGUACGUGUCCUAUAUCAACCCUCACUUGCAAAACUGCUUGCUCCACGUAGAGCUCAAGAUCGUUUAGGUUUAAAAAAACCGUAUUGCUAGAAUCACCUUCUGUCAGACUUUGUUAUGGACGAGAAAAGCAUAAGCUUCAGUAAUCUUUUUUCUUUAAAUGUGUCCUAACGAUUCUUUAAUAUUAAUCUUUUGUGAAUUCCGUUUGAUCAUUUAAAUCAUAUCAUGUUUAAAUACUAAUUCAAUGCUCCGUUGAAUCUGUUUUCUGUUGUAAUUUUCAAACACUUUCUUUGCUGAGCAGAUCUGUUUUUGAGAUUUUAAAUAUUUCAAACCUGAUCAACUAAAAUUUCAAAAGUAUGUCUUUCUAAGCAACAAUUUACGAAAACGUUUGAAAUUUACAUCGGUUUCUAGAUUCAGCGGAGCUAAAAAAAUUUUUGCU